AUAAGAAAUUAGAUCCAAAUUGAUGAUAGCUUAACUUGAAUUCCUUCAUAAAACAAUCCAGUAGGAAUUCCUUUUAUAAAAGAAAUAGGCAAAUGUGCAUACAUGGUGUAAUGGAUAGGUAAAAAUUAAAAACAAAAAUAUAUAUCUUGUCAAUUAACUGUAAAUUGUGAAAUCACCAAAAGUGCAACACUGUGUUUGCUGUAUUUCUCAGCCAAUAAGUCAUUCUUAGUACUACCAACAUCACAACUCUCAGAGUUGAUAAACUUCACCGAUGUCCAUGUUAGAUUGUUCGCACCCACUAUAAGUGGCUUUCCUAAUAGACUUUGGAGUCCUUCAUAUAUCUACAAAAAAAUACACACAGGUAAAUGUUUAUA
rnacentral:lncRNA from 1 species